rnacentral:sRNA from 1 species
AUGGUUUACGAACUAUUGUUGAAAUCUACAUCUAAGGUAUUAACUCCAACAUUGACAAUCGCUAGAGGAGGACAUGGACAGGUGAAAAUACAGUUUACGAUUCCUUUUGUGAAUAGACAGUUGGUUUAUCUUAAAUCCGAAUAUCAGGACGAAUUAAAGAUUAGUAUUGGGGUUCAUGGUGGAUCCGUUGCUUGUGACGAUCUAAACAAAAACUUUUGUGAAAAAAAAGUGUAUGCUUACAAAAAACGGGAAUCGGAUAAGUACAAUACCGAUGACUGGAAAGUUAUUCACAAUAUCGCAGUCUACAAUAAAGAUGAUGUCAAAUACAAUCUCAUUGACAAACACAUCACACUGCGCCUUGAGACGGGGGGCACAUCCGGUACCGGAAGCAAAAUAUUUGAUAAGAUCAUUCUUCCAGAUAUUCAGGUUUUUAUCGAGGACACAGACCCGUCCUGGAAAGGAGCUUAUUGUGCAUCCCACACUGAUCCGCAUAUGAAGACUUUUGACGGAAAGUACAAGAAAAACAUCACCUAUGCUAUCCAGCCUAUUCAUAUCCACGAUGCAGCUGUGCUGUUGCCGUACGUUCAGGAAAGGACGUGUUCAUGGUUGACAUAUGUAACUCCAAAUCCAUCAUACAUUUUCCAUCUUGUGGGGAUAAAGUUUUAA